rnacentral:rRNA from 1 species
GAUCCUGGCUCAGGACGAACGCUGGCGGCGUGCUUUAGGCAUGCAAGUCGAACGCGAAAGCCCCUUCGGGGGUGAGUAGAGUGGCGAACGGGUGAGUAACACGUGGGUAACCUGCCCCUCGCAGGGGGGAUAACCGGGGGGAAACCCCGGCUAAUACCCCGUACGCUUGCCGGGGCGCAUGCUCCGGCAAGGAAAGGUAGCUUCGGCCAUCCGGCGAGGGAGGGGGCCCGCGGCCCAUUAGCUAGUUGGUGGGGUAACGGCCCACCAAGGCGACGAUGGGUAG